UGGCGAACUCCGGUCAGCUGACACAUCCCUGCCAAUCUCCAGCAGACCCUCCCUCCCAGACCCUCCUACCUCCUGGACAGCAUCCAUGUUGAAGGCAGCUGGGAGGGUCUGGGAGGGAGGGUCUGCCAGAGAUUGGCAGGGAUGUGUCAGCUGACCGG